AACAAAGAGGCGUUAGGCUGCUGAGACGCUGAAAGUCCGGAUUUAAAGUGCAGAAAAUUAAGCCAUUGAAUCUGCCUGUCCAUGACGUACAAAGACACACUAUGAGCCAGUAUGAUCCGACCAGACCUUACAUCAGCAUUGAGGAGUUGUCGGAGAAGAGAGAGGCUGAUUGAAGCGGGACAGAUGACAUGGAUCCAUCCUUCCACAGCCAGGAGCGCACCGACCUGUGUCCCACACUUCAUAUAAGACUGGAAGCUACACUGGAUCUCACAGCUACACACCACAGACGUCU